GGGGGUGGCUGAAAAGGAGUCGCGAGCGGCUACACGGGGAGGGAGCUGUAACACUGCACGCCGGAGAAAUGUCUUCAUGAAAUGACGAGGAGUGGCACUCUCUGCAGUCCUGUGUUAAGAGAGAAGAACAUGUGUUUUCCUACAAAUGAAGCAGAAUCCAGCAGGAGCAGAAAAGCACAAUCCAGGGACACAUAGCGCAUAAGGACAACGCCACUAAACAGAAGUGUAGCUUGUAGCUUCACUUUCAUCAAACAAGGUAAUCAGUGCAUUUAACACGUUUUACUAACCACUGAAUUUAUCUGCUACUGGUUUUGAAACAAAACAAUAAGUUGAAUAAAUCCUUUUUUUUUUAAUGAACCAUUAAUAUAAAAACCAGUGCAUCAUCUCUUGCCUUCACUAGAAAAAGGGUAGAAAUUGAGGCGGUUUCCAUUAAAUUGGGAAAUUUUUCAGUUGAUACAAAAUUUGUUUCCUAAUUCUUGAGUGUGUUUUACUGAGGUUUAAUGUCAACUUUUAACACAUUAAGAGAAGGUCCUACCACAGAAAAUAUAAUAAAACCAAACGCUGUAGGUCUCUUAUCAGUUUAACACUCAAACCACCGAUGCUGUUCACCAUAAUGGGGUAAGGAGGGGAAACCAGCAUCGCAGCACUAUUAAGUGGUCAGUAACAGUCAUUUAACCACAUUUGUGAGAUCAAAACGAUGCUGGUCUGCUGUUUGUGACCAGUUAUGUCCCGAGAAACGAAGUGAGGGCCGCCGGAAUGGCGUGGAUCCAGCUGAAGAAAACAGCCCAGAACAGAGGCCGUUGGCGUGGUGUUGUUGAGGCCCUAUGCUCCGCCAGGAGUCUACGGGACAAAUGAUGAUGAUGAUGAUAUGUCCCGAGAACCUUCGAACCAGCAAGAGAUCCAGCGAAAAUGUGGAGAUUGUGGUUUUAUUAGUGAAUAAAGUGGAAUAUCCCAAACAGAACCAGCUCUUCACCACAAUAGCUUCUCACCACAAUACUACAAUAUUCUUGAUCUUGUGAUGGGUGGCAUCAGGUGCCUGCCUAACCUUCCAUCUUACAACUCUGGGAAUGCAUCUGGGCAGCUAGGUGUCCUUGCUGAAGGAAUUCACACAAACAUACCAGCAACCUCGCCAUCAAAUCUUGAAUUGCUUUCAACAAAAGCACUCAGGCUAUAUCACAUCAGUGAGGAUGUUUCCUGACCGUGAACCAAAGUGCAAGGCUCCCUGGAGAUUGUCCUGUACAGUAAACCCCCCCACUGUGGGAGUAUUUUACAAAUAUGUAUGUGUGUAGCCCUGAGCUGCUGCCACAUUCGUUGCAUGAAUGCUGUGUCAUAAGAGUGGUUUGCUCCUCCUUUCUUCCUCUACCAUCCUUCAACAGGAAACAGUCAGCUCUUUGUCUCCUACCGUAUGUCCUGCCUCAACUGGCCCAACCUGGAAAUGAAUCCUAAGGGAUGUCUUUCUCUCCCGUUUUCUCUCUCUCUCAUUCUCUUGCCUACAAGACUCUUCCUGCUGACCCAGCCAAUAACAAUUGUUCUUAUAAUGUUUCUAGAACACUGGAAGUGUGUUACUGUGUUUUUUACACAAUGUUACGGCACUCAGAGUGUUUUGUCAUGCGUCUCUCAGUCCCGAAGACGCCGGCGGUGUCAUCGAACUGUCACAGUAGAAAGAGGGAAAUAUUGAGGCACUGGGCUAUAACUGUUUCCGCCGUAAAUGGUGAGCUGUGAAUAAUGGUGGAGAAAGAUCAUCACACCGGUGUACAUUACAAGUGAGCACCGUCCGAGAUCUGUCCGAAUUAUGUAUUCUCCAAAUCUAGCAAAAUUAGAUGUAUUCUAGUUAGCAGACUUAACCAGUUGCAUUCAUACAGCUAGGUAUAUGUAAGAGAAGGCACAGAUUUCAGCCUUCUACAAUUUCAAUAAGAUAUAUGGCUGGAAUCUAUGUUUUUAUAUGAAAUGAAAUGCUUUAUUUGCCCUUUGGUUCUACUGGUACAUUGGAGUGCUUCUAUUCAGAGAUCUCAUCUUGCUCUCCUUUGGGACAUAUAGUCACACAUAAAAAGUUGAGAGCAAGACUUGGGGUUUGUGUGUAGAUUCAGCCAUUUAUCUGGCAUUCCUGGGGCAUAUUGGGGGAGGGGGGGGGGGUUAAGGAUCUUGCCCAAUGGCCUUACAGAUAUAUGACUGGUCUACCAAGGAUGGGAACUGAACCAGUGACUUUUCGAUCACAAGCACAGAGGCCUAAAACAUAUAAUACCACCCCCACAGAAGGAAAUUCUGUCUAAUUAUUUGUGCUACUGGACUGGUAUCCCAUCUAGAGUUUCCCCUACUGCCUCUCUACAGUGACUCUACACUGGUUAAGCCUUAUGCAAACUGGAUGGAUGCUUCUCCAUUUGUAGAGAGCUAGUUGCUCUCUCUGUUAAACAUUACAGUUAAGAGGUUGUAGACAUUGCCUCAAAAGCAAAAAGACUAUUAAAAAUUACUAAAUUUGCAGAAUUAUGAACCUGUAAAUCCAGAACAAACUUCGUAGCACUUGUUUCUGGGCACCCCACCAAACAACUAUGUGACGAGGAGGCGGGAGGAGGGAGUAGGGAGCCCGGAGAGGAGAGGGGUUAACAAAACUAGUGGGGAGCAACAAAAAUGAAGGGUAGCUGUUUUGCCAUCAGCAGGGGGAAAAGACACAAAAACAAAACAGGUUUUGGGGUCGGGGAAAGGGCUGCAAAGGGUUCUGUAUGGGUUUUUCUUGGGGGGAGUUAAGACAACAAAAACACAAUCCCAUAUAAUUACUGGUAUGGAUCUUAAAGGGCCCAUCCCCUGUCCUGUAAGCCUUCUCUGCAAGCCACAGGACAGGCCUCUGGUUUAUUUACAUUAGCAGGAAUGUUAAAGGUGCAUAAUUAUAGCCAGUCAAAUACGUUCACUUGAACCACUUCACAUUUCACGUCUGUUGGUUGCAACAAUGACACGCAGAUGGCCUCUGUGGCACUGGAGCUGAGGUGUGACCCCCUCCGUGGGGGUCCCCCCCCCCCGCAAAGAUCACCCCCCGUGGCUCACUGAUUAGCAAGUUCGCUCACCAACUGUUGGCAUUUUAACACCUCGACCAUGUUCAGCCUCUGCUCCAGAGAGCCGCAAGCCCUUCGCUGAAGGCCUGCCGUCCGACAUGUGGCUUUUAUUGUACGUAGGCCCGAUUCCCAAAGCCAUGCACUGACACCCUGUCCACUUAGUUCCACACAUUUCUGUGUAUCCAAUUUGCUGCUCCACAUACAGGGUGUGUUUGUGUUUCCCGCAGAACAAAGAUGUUCUAAUACUCUCCAGAGCGAUAAACGGGGAUAAGUUAACUUACAGCUCACUGUAUAAGAAUGUAUGGUAAUAAAGUGAUGUUUUCCUUUGUUAUGCCGCCUAAUCUCUAUAACAUGUUAACAUAAGGUCACGUACACUUUAACACAGGACAUUCACUACCUAAUGGAGGGAUUAGACAAUUAUAAAUAACACAUCUUAAAUGUGUUUUUAUAGACCUAUAUGCACAUGCUCUAUCUUCAUCUUAUAGACUUAAAAGACCAUGCAUGAUAGCCACAAAAAAAAGAUAUUUUGUUGCAUUCACAUCCCAGCUUUGUUUGACAGUUUGAUGCUUGAACUGUGCCAUUGUGGCCUUGGAAUCACUUGGAAUCCAAGGCCACUGUAUUUAUCACAUUCCCUGCAUUUACUCCUUUGUCGUGUAAACUGUGUCUUGAAUUUAUUCUCUGUCUGCGUUAUGCCCUAAUUGUUAGUUGUCUAUUGUCAUGGUGUCUAAAGUUUUUCAUCCUAAAUGUGAGGUAUGAUCCCUUGCUACCCAAAACUUUCUGUUGGGACCAUGAGUCUGGUGAAGAAGCACAGACAUGCAGUCAUUAGGUCACCCAACGGCUGCCCCUGUGACCGUCAACGAUCACUUAUGACAUGCUAAUCAGAUGGCAUCCGCUCGCAGGUGCCGCAGAUAUGGCACAAGAUGGAGAUCAAAUCCACAUCGUCACUACAUACCAGGCAAGAGGAUUAGAUCACUAAAAUAAAGACUCGGGUAUCAGGGCUCAGGCAACUAAUCAGUCUGUUGCUGGGGGAGUGUAGGUGACAUCAACAUUGCAAUAGACUCACAUACGUGUGAUGAGCUCUUGUGCUCAUUAAUUUAGUAAUUUAGAACUAUUAUCUUCUUGGUGUCUAACUGUAAAGACAUUCAGCAAAAGGUUAAAGCUAAUCCAAGAAAACUACUUAUUGGCCAUCACCCUGUAACCUUGUUCCAUACUUUAUGCCGGAUAAUUAGAUCAUUCUGAAAAAUUCAAUAAAUCAUGCACACACCUCUACACAGGCACAUAAACAUUUUCCAUGUUGUCAUGGUUACGGAGGUUUAAAUCCCAGGGACGGCGCAGGCUCCGGCGCGGGGGUCCUUCCAGAGGUAGGGAUAAAUUCUAGAACUCUCCUGUUGUUUUCUAACGUCAACAUGUAGUGGAGGCACAAGCAGCCGAGCAUGCUUGGGGCUGACCGGGCAAGCGGGGGCCCGGCCUACUGCAGCAAGGGGCAGGCAGACGAACCCCUGAAGGGAGUCUUUCACCCUUUUCUGCUCUUUCUUUCCUAAGUUCCAUGGCAACACUUUUGAAGUAUUCGGCCGCUAUUUCACAGUAAGUAAUAUAUAGUACAGUUCCGAACAAGUAAGUAAAUUUCCCUACACUGUGUGCAUGGCAGAGAUGUCAAGACGAGAGCCAUUUUCCCAACCGUGUUGGAAAAGAGGGCACACACAUGGUUUAACCAACCUGUGUGUUUUCUCUCAUUUUAGUUGUCACAAGGGGUCACAAGAAAAACACUAAGCAUGCUCUCUUUUGCUGUUCAGAAACUGACAACAGCCACCACACAAGGCAGUCAUAAACCAUAUGAGAGGGCCUCGCCAAGCUCUUACCAAGAUCGCCCCUCUCCCAAAUCAAUUCAUAACUAUCAUUUCAUUUGCACGUUCAUAUUCCUGCCCAUCCCUUUGACUUCCAGCUUCCCAUUAACGAUCCGGCCCCAUUUGAGGUGUCACGACCUGUGUCUGCUUGGAGGAGACACCACCCGCUCGUCCAAUUAUAAGCCGCGUCAUGCAUAAACAAGCUCUGAUUACUCAUCAAAGUUAAUCACCAGUAUCUUCAUAGCCAUAACGAAUGAGGCCUCAUCUCCUCCCAUCUCCUCUGGCCCGCUCACCUGCUGAUGCAUUAUCAAUCCGCAGCAAACUGCUCCAGGUGAGUGAAAACGCAUCGCUAAGCCGAAAUAACAUCAAUUAGCUUGUGAUUAACAAGUGUUUUAAUUCCAGCCAAUUUAAUCAAGCACCCACCUGUUCUGGUAAUGAUAUCAAUUUACUCAUUAAUGACUAAUCAAGGAACUGGAGAAAAAUCACACACAGAGUGCUGCGAUUAUUGCACGCACGGUCAAAAUAGUUUUAUGUUGAGAAAAACGUGCAAAGAACUAUCUGCUUUUGGAAAAAUAAUGGUGUGUCGAUGUCGUAUUGAUUUAAAAUGGGCUCUUUUUCACGAACAGGAAAUUCUGUGUGUUAUUAUGCUUUGUCCAAGGAGCACCAGCAAUCCUGAGCGAUUUCUGCUAUUUAUGGACAAUGUUCGGCUGAGGGUUACCAGGCGAUGCCAGUCCGGGCUGCUGCUCGAUGGAGACACACAAAAACGGUGUGAACGUCACGGCAAACCCCCUCCCCCCAGCACUGAGAUUGGCACCACGCCCUCUGUAAUUUCAUCAGACUUGACGCAGACCCCGGCUGUCUCUGGGAGCAGCGGGCCGCGUCUAUGUAACUGCUGUCCGAAGAAUUUCAAUUUUUGGUCGCGCACGUCAUUUUCUCAUCAGGGAUUUCUUUAAAAAUCAUUCAGCUUCACCAUGUUGGAAAAGAGGACAGGUAGGGGUUAGAUAAAGCUGUUUUUAAUCCAGGAGACCCAUGCCACCAAAAAUCAUACGUGACCUAACACAGUCAACCUUACGCAGCCGUGUCUCCUGCGGACCUUUCUGGGGGGCAGAGGCACAGAGCAGGCCAGCAGCGAUGGCUUACCUACUAUUUGGAACGUUUCAGAAAGCGUCUGUCAGAGACCUCGUAGCGGUUGCUGCAUUUCAGGGCAUAGGACUCCAGGAGAUACCUCCAUGAUGGAUGGCAAGGAUCUCAGGAGCAGGAUCGAUUAAAAAAUACCCAUGCGGGGGUCCACUGUGUCCAUGCGAGGAUACCACAGGAGGUGCUCCCCAAUGGUGUGUGGUUCAGUGGGUUAGCAUGUCGUUCCCAUGACUGGAAGGUUGCUGGUUUGAAUCCUUUGGGUUGGCAGAAUGAUUUCACUGUUGGGUCCCUGAGCAAAGUCCCCUAACCCUAAUUGCUCCAGGGACUGUCUGACACUUCUUGUAUGUCGUUUCGGAUAAAAGCACACUCUAAAUAAAUGUAUGCAUGCAUGCAUCCACCCCCACUAAGGCGUGAGAUCCCACAACCCUCCUGCUAGUGCAACAGGUGCUGGUUUAACAGUCGAUAGCACAAGGAGGCCAGCACUCUAGCGGGGGGUUUAAAUGUGGAUUUUCUCAUAGAUUAGAAAGAUGGAGGAUCAGUUCAGGAAGCCAGCCCCAAACCGAAGUCGCGAUCACUGAAACUCUCACCCCCCACCCCUUCUGUUCUGGAUCUUCAUUAUCUGACGAGGCGGCAGCAGUACACGCAUUCUUGGAUAUUUCCGUCGCGGGAAAGAUAACAGAAAACGGACCGAAAGCAUGCAAAUCGGCCAAGGCGGCCUGACGGCGCGGUUCAGCCUGCUGAAAGCGCAUUAAUGUUUUUAAUCGCUUCCCUUCCCCAAGACGCCCGCCCUGGAAAUUUCCGGCAUCCAGCUCUGCCUUAACCGAGCGGACUUCAGCCGCGAGGUUCUCCGCGGCUCCCCAUUCCGCCCACUCCUUCGGUCGGCCUCCGUUCAAAAGGAAGAU